UUCCCAGCCCUCAUUUAAGGGUUGGCAGUGGAGGUGAGGGGAUCUUGUUGGAGAUCCUUGCAUGCUUGAGGCCUUCUAAGGGGUGAGAAAAGCUGUGGCACAUUAGAAUCCACUGCAAAGCACUGACAGCUCAGCGGAUUUGUUGCAAGGCAGGACACCAUGCAAAGGUGGAGGCAGUGAAGCUGAAUUUGAAGGAGGGCAUCUGCCCUGUGAGAUCAGAACCGUGUGUGUUUGAAGAAGCAGCGCCCGGAGCGGUGCCCAAGGCACUUCCAUCAUCAGAGCCCAAGCGCAAUAAACUUGGAGGCAGUCAUAAAAAGGACGUAUUUGCUGCUGACCUGGAGCAGCUCUGCCAGACCUCGGCAACUCCCAGAGCCACAGAGUGAUGCUCAGGCUCCCUCAGGGCAAGGAGCAAGAAGCUUCACCAUACGAGGAGCCAGCACGUGCCCCAGCCCCACGGAUGGCACGUUUCCUUCUUCAGUCCUCUACAGUAAUAAGCCGUAUGCUUGAAAUUAAUGACCACUUGGCAGAGAGAAAAUGUACCCAUUGACCCGGGGCUGAGCUUCAGCCAUUUGAAGCGCAGCAUUUGAUGCUGUUCAAAUGUUCAUUUUCAGGAUUCGCGGGACAAAGCGUUGAUCUUCUGAAUGCAAAAUGUUUUUAAUGCCAUCAAAGCGUUUGGUCUCUCAUCUUCAAAGUUCAUUUAGUGGGAAAUGUCCAGCAGGUUUCCAUUGAUAUAAUUCCAAAAGGAAGAUGAAGAAAUCCCUGGGUACAGGUUUCCCACAUGCCUACCUCUCCAAAAUAUCACUAAGUUAAUGAAAUAUGACCCAAGCAAUAUUCAAGUCAAGGAUCCGAGGAUCUACAUCCCAAAACCCAUGGACUCAGCAUCUCUCUUCUUACAGGAAAAGUCAUUUUCUCUUUUCAUAGGCUUUUGGCGUUGGGUCAAAGCAUCAUCGCAGCACAUGGCGCAUGGAAGUGGCUGUCAUACUCAUCUCAUAUCCAGCUGAGUGACUGGCAAGAUCUCACCUCCCAUAUGCACUUAUAAAGUACUGCAUUCACAACAGGCACCCUGAAGUGGAUCUGCUUCAUCUGGUGUGUUUAAUCUGCUGCAGACCUGGAGUUAAAGGGGGAAAAAAAAAAUAAAUCUGUCAUUUGAGGAGCCCUGUUUCCUCUCCCUGCUAAUAGGAUUAUUCAGAAAUGUUUUAAAUCAAAAUCCCACAGCCUGUUGUUGGUUUUCAAAUGAGGCUGAGCCUUUCUGGUGUGCCGUUUUUCCAUCUUUCCACUGGGAGUGGACUCUGUGGCAGAGCCCCAAAGCUCCGUGGGGGCCAGGGACAGCUCUGAGCCACAUUAAUUGGGAAAAGUGGGCUUUGGGGGUCAGAAAAGCACCGAUUUUCAACCAGAUCUGCAGGAAAAGCAUCCCAUGGGCUGGGGAGGGAGUUUUAGCGCAGGCUGCAGUGACAGCACCAAGCUGCUCCCAUCAGUCCUGGGGGAUGUGCCUGGGGACAAGAAAGGAUGCUGAAAAAUUGGCAAGAGUGUAAAGAAAGGCCCAGAAAUGACACGAGGGCUGGGGAAAAUGCCUUAUAGUGGAUGACUUAAAGAGCUCUGCCUCUUUAUCUUAUCAACAAGAAAAAUGAGAGUGACUUGAUUACAGCACGCAGGCACCUUCUCUGGGAGAAAACGCUGGGCAUGACAAAACCUCCUUAAUCCGUCAGCAAAGGGCAGGACGAGAAGCAAAAGCUGGAAGCAGAAGCCAGACCCGUUGCAAUCAGAAAGUGGGCACAAUUUCUCCCUUUUU